UACUCGUUAUGUUUGCAGAGUGGACAUCCUGACAUAAUGACAUAACAGCAGCAUUAUACAUACCAUAAUAGCGACAUAAGGGAAAAUACUGAUCUUUUCAGUCCCCAUGUCUCCGUGUUCACGUUACUGUCAUAAGCGAUAACGUAAUGGACUUUGAAUAACUCGAAAGUAAUUUAUUCUUGUCAGCAAGUUCCGAAAGCCUCCCAAAUGAAAAUAAAGCGAAGUUGACAUAGCUUUGAAACGAACUACGUGUUAACAAGGCUUGGGGGUAAACUAUUGACAGCUGAGGUAAUCACACCGGAUGAAGUGUGCCAAGAUUUUCAGGGUUCAUUUCUUAAGACUUCUGUUCCUCUAAGAAAUUGAAUUUGAAAUUUUUACGGUAUGUUUUUUUUUUCUUGUCACCACAUUCUUCUCAAUUUUCAACCCCGUUUGUGUUGUUUUUAGGUCCCGGCAUUGACGCAAGAGUUGUCAAACAUAGAAGGAAUUCUCGCCAGAAAUGACUUUGAAGAACGAAGCACUGAGGGGCAAAAUGAAUUUAACUCCAUGGCAGCAAAAGUUGACCAAAAGACAUUAUCAGGAAGGGAAG